UUUGAAAUAGAGAGAGAGAGAGAGCAGGAAAGAGCAUCUUAAUUUUGAAAUGGAGAGAAACAAAGAGCGAGAGCGAGAGAUCCACGGAGCCCGACCUCAAGAAACCUUGGGUGGCUACGGAGCCCGAUUGGGCCGGCGAUACUAUGCAGUUCGUUGAUACGAUCGCCGCCAUCAUAUGUGCAACAUUCUCCUCCAGAGUAAGGCAAAGGCUGAAAAGAAUCAGGCGAUGGAACAUUCCAUGAGCGGGAACUCAUGCUAAUUAUGCGCAGUGGAAAGUUUACCUUUGAACCCAACCGAUUUAUUUCUUGGGUUGUGAAUUAAACGAAAUGCAACUUAUUAUUCACAUGGAAGUGGCCACUGCUAUCUUGUUGUAGUCUCUGGGACGGGCGCAACCAAUGCACAAAGUUCGAACUCUAUGACAAGUUGAAGAAUUUCAGUUCGUAUCUUGCAAUUAUUGCUUGAUUUGGCCUAAGCAUGAUGACACCAUUGGUCAAUGGAUGGUAUUGAUCACACUUUUGGUGAUAUUUUCUCUUCUACAAUUUUUGGAUUCCAUAGUGCGUAAGUUUGCAUUAAAUUUUAAUCACUAAAAUUUGUUU